rnacentral:rRNA from 1 species
UACGUAGGUCCCGAGCGUUGUCCGGAUUUAUUGGGCGUAAAGCGAGCGCAGGUGGUUUAUUAAGUCUGGUGUAAAAGGCAGUGGCUCAACCAUUGUAUGCAUUGGAAACUGGUAGACUUGAGUACAGGAGAGGAGAGUGGAAUUCCAUGUGUAGCGGUGGAAUGCGUAGAUAUAUGGAGGAACACCGGUGGCGAAAGCGGCUCUCUGGCCUGUAACUGACACUGAGGCUCGAAAGCGUGGGGAGCAAACAGG